AUGAUUGUCCGAAAGUCUAUUGAUCCGACACCGACUUUUCCGAGGUGCACUUGAAUGCCUCCUCAGAAAGCGGGACACUUAUGAGAACGCUGCGCGCUCCUUUGUUGGUCUCGCGCUUAGGGAGGAAAACGGACUUACGAAACCCCUUUUUCCCGUGACAUUUGUGUGCGUUUAUGAAACCCCAGACCACACACACACACACACACACACACACACACACACACACACACGUACACACUCAAACCCACUAACAUACACUCCUGGAAACCUGUAUACUCACUGCUGUUGAGAAUAAAGUUGAUGCAAGAUUC